rnacentral:rRNA from 1 species
GAUGCGUGAUAUGGAGACACCAGUGGCGAAGGCGGCUCUCUGGUCUGCAACUGACGCUGAGGCUCGAAAGCAUGGGUAGCGAACAGGAUUAGAUACCCUGGUAGUCCAUGCCGUAAACGAUGAGUGCUAAGUGUUGGGAGGUUUCCGCCUCUCAGUGCUGCAGCUAACGCAUUAAGCACUCCGCCUGGGGAGUACGACCGCAAGGUUGAAACUCAAAGGAAUUGACGGGGGCCCGCACAAGCGGUGGAGCAUGUGGUUUAAUUCGAAGCAACGCGAAGAACCUUACCAGGUCUUGACAUCUAGUGCAAUCUGUAAAGAUAAGGAGUUCCCUUCGGGGACGCUAAGACAGGGGGGGCAUGGGUGUCGCCAGCUCGUGUCGUGAGAUGUUGGGUUAAGUCCCGCAACGAGCGCAACCCUUGUUAUUAGUUGCCAGCAUUAAGUUGGGCACUCUAAUGAGACUGCGGGUGACAAACCGGAGGAAGGGGGGGAUGACAUCAAAUCAUCAUGCCCCUUAUGACUUGGGCUAAAAC